CCGCAGCCUCUGCAGCCCCGGGCCUGCUCGGCCCCUCCCAUGAAAAGUGCUCGCGUCUUCGGGGCGCUGGGUGCCACCGGUCCCUCCUCACCUGGGCUCACCCUCAGGGGUCUGACCGUGAGUGAGCACCGGCUCAGCAACAAGCUGCUGGCCUGGAGCGGCGUCCUCGAGUGACAGGAGAAGCGCAGACUCUACUCCGACUCCACUGUAAAGUUGAAGCGCGCCCUGCUCUGCCAAGCCUAUGUGAACCUGGAGACCAACCAGUGGCAGCUGAAGCUGAUCAUGCAGCUGAUCCCGCUGAAGCUGAUGGCCACGCUGAGACCCCUGUUGCUUGCUCAACAGGCUCUGCCGCAUCAUGAGCAACGGCUUCGCGGGCUGCAUGUCGUUUCCCCACAUCUCCCCCUGCAAGAUGUGCGUGCUCAUGUUCCUGUACUCUUCCAGGACGAAGAUCUUCAUGGGCUUCAUCCCCUACGACCAGAGCGGCUUCGUCAGCGCCAUCCAGCAGGUCAUCACUACCCACAAGCAGGCAGUGGGACCUGGUGGUGUCAACUCAGGCCCAGUCAACAAGAAGUUCCUGGCGUGGAGCAGCGUCAUGGAGUGGCAGGAACCCAGGCCUGCUCCCAACAGUCGGUCCAAGAGGUGGCUGCGGUCCCACGUCUACGUGAACCAGGGGAGAUCCUGAGGACCGAGCAGUGGCCGAGGAAGCUGUACAUGCAGCUCAUUCCACAGCAGCUGCUGACCACCCUGGUGCUGCUGUUGCAGAACUAGAGCCUGGUGCACUUCCACUUCACCAAGGACCUGGAGACGCUUAAGAGCCUGUGCCAGAUCAUGGACAAUGGCUUCGCCGGGUGAGUGCACUUUUCCUACAAAGUAUCGUGCGAGAUCCGUGUGCUCAUGCUCCUGUACUCCUCUGAGAAGAAAAUCUUCAUCGGCCUCAUCCCCCAGGGCAACUUCCUCAAUGGCAUACUGCAAGUCAUUGCCAACCAGCGCAGGUCCUGCAGUGGAACCUGGAACAGGAGCAGCAGCAGCAAGGAAUGGGGGGUAGUGGCUACCCUGGAUGGGCCCCUUCAGGAGUCACAGACUAGGCCCCCGCAGAGACUGGUGACACGCUUCUGAGCAGGAGCCCCGGGGGACUUCGACUGCCCAGCAACAUGGAGGAUGGCGUCCUGGGGCCUCCAAGGACGGUCUUCACCACUGUACGUUUCCCCAGUAAAGCCUUUUAAAAACCAA